UACAGAGGGGGGCAAGCGUUUGUUCGGAAUUACUGGGCGUAAAGGGCGCGUAGGCGGCCUUCUAAGUCGAACGUGAAAUCCCCGGGCUCAACCCGGGAACUGCGUCCGAUACUGGAAGGCUUGAAUCCGGGAGAGGGAUGUGGAAUUCCAGGUGUAGCGGUGAAAUGCGUAGAUAUCUGGAGGAACACCGGUGGCGAAGGCGACAUCCUGGACCGGUAUUGACGCUGAGGCGCGAAAGCCAGGGGAGCAAACGGG
rnacentral:rRNA from 1 species